GGCCCGUUGGUCAAGUGGUUAAGACACCGCCCUUUCACGGCGGUAACACGGGUUCGAAUCCCGUACGGGUCACCA
rnacentral:tRNA from 649 species